rnacentral:rRNA from 1 species
AGUGAACGCUGGCGGUAGGCCUAACACAUGCAAGUCGAACGGCAGCACAGUAAGAGCUUGCUCUUACGGGUGGCGAGUGGCGGACGGGUGAGGAAUACAUCGGAAUCUACUUUUUCGUGGGGGAUAACGUAGGGAAACUUACGCUAAUACCGCAUACGACCUACGGGUGAAAGCAGGGGAUCUUCGGACCUUGCGCGAUUGAAUGAGCCGAUGUCGGAUUAGCUAGUCGGCGGGGUAAAGGCCCACCAAGGCGACGGUCCGUAGCUGGUCUGAGAGGAUGAUCAGCCACACUGGAACUGAGACACGGUCCAGACUCCUACGGGAGGCAGCAGUGGGGAAUAUUGGACAAUGGGCGCAAGCCUGAUCCAGCCAUACCGCGUGGGUGAAGAAGGCCUUCGGGUUGUAAAGCCCUUUUGUUGGGAAAGAAAAGCAGCAGGUUAAUACCCCGCUGUUCUGACGGUACCCAAAGAAUAAGCACCGGCUAACUUCGUG